UCGGGAAUCUUCCACACUGGACGCAAGUCUGAUGGAGCAACGCCGCGUGAGUGAAGAAGGUUUUCGGAUCGUAAAGCUCUGUUGUUGGUGAAGAAGGAUAGAGGCAGUAACUGGUCUUUAUUUGACGGUAAUCAACCAGAAAGUCACGGCUAACUACGUGCCAGCAGCCGCGGUAAUACGUAGGUGGCAAGCGUUGUCCGGAUUUAUUGGGCGUAAAGCGAGCGCAGGCGGAAUGAUAAGUCUGAUGUGAAAGCCCACGGCUCAACCGUGGAACUGCAUCGGAAACUGUCAUUCUUGAGUGCAGAAGAGGAGAGUGGAAUUCCAUGUGUAGCGGUGGAAUGCGUAGAUAUAUGGAAGAACACCAGUGGCGAAGGCGGCGCUCUGGUCUGCAACUGACGCUGAGGCUCGAAAGCAUGGGUAGCGAACAGG
rnacentral:rRNA from 1 species